rnacentral:tRNA from 1 species
GACCGCGUAGCUCAGUUGGCAGAGCAUUGGGCUAGUAUCCCAAAGGUCGUAGGUUCGAUUCCCACCAUGGUUA